rnacentral:lncRNA from 1 species
AGAUAGCUAGGUGGACCAGUCAUAGUCAGUACAUUCAUCUCCAGAUAGCUAGGUGGACCAGUCAUAGUCAGUCCAUUCAUCUCCAGAUAGCUAGGUGGACCAGUCAUAGUCAGUCCAUUCAUCUCCAGAUAGCUAGGUGGACCAGUCAGUCCAUUCAUCUCCAGAUAGCUAGGUGGACCAGUCAUAGUCAGUCCAUUCAUCUUCAGAUAGCUAGGUGGACCAGUCAUAGUCAGUACAUUCAUCUCCAGAUAGCUAGGUGGACCAGUCAUAGUCAGUCCAUUCAUCACCAGAUAGUUAGGUGGACCAGUCAGUCCAUUCAUCUCCAGAUAGCUAGGUGGACCAGUCAGUCCAUUCAUCUCCAGAUAGCUAGGUGGACCAGUCAUAGUCAGUCCAUUCAUCUCCAGAUAGCU